AACUCGGCCAUUUAGAGGAAGUACAAGUCGUAACAAGGUUUCCGUAGGUGAACCUGCGGAAGGAUCAUAGUAAUCGUCUUUGACGUUGCUUCUCCACCGGUCGAGGACAACCGACCCCUCCCGUCCGAGGUGAAACCGACGUCCCUGUGUUACCUCUCCGGAGGCACACGUUAAAGAUCGUUCCGCGUCUGUGAGUCUCGACACCAGUUGUAACUUUUUACAACCGGCAGCGCUGGAUCCCUUGGCACGUCAUUCGAUGAAGACCGUUGCAAAUUGCGAUAAAGUGAUGUGAUGCGCAAGUCCACCACUUAUAUGUGAAUCAUCGAGUUGUUGAACGCACUGCACCGCGCCCUAAUCCGGCUGCGGUAUGCCCCUUUGAGCGUCAUUGUAUUCCUUCGGGAGUCUUUCCUUGCGAAGGACCCGAGUUCGGAGUCCUCGGUCUUUGGAUCGUGUUCUCUCAGAUGCGUCGCGCCGAUCGCCUGAUGGGCACUCUAAUGCCUGAGCGUGGAGUCCUCCGAGUUUGAGACGCGCUUGACCGGCCGUUGGGCUCGCGUCACCAAGUCCGCGCCCUUAGGGACGUCGGUACUACAACGCAUGACCUCAUUGGGGUAGGACAACCCGCUAGACUUAAGCAUAUUAAUCAGCGGAGGAAAAGAAACUAACCAGGAUUCCCGUAGUAACUGCGAGUGAAGUGGGACCCGCUCAAUGUGUGAAUCUGGCGG
rnacentral:rRNA from 1 species